UUGGAGGGCAAGUCUGGUGCCAGCAGCCGCGGUAAUUCCAGCUCCAAUAGCGUAUAUUAAAGUUGUUGCAGUUAAAAAGCUCGUAGUUGAAUUUCGGGAUCAAUAUAUCGGUCGUGCCUUUGGUACGUACUGGUAUCAUUGAUUUCUCCUUUCUGACGAAUCACGAUGUCAUUAAUUUGGUGUUAUGAGGAGUUAGGACUGUUACUUUGAAAAAAUUAGAGUGUUUAAAGCAGGCAUUAGCUUGAAUACAUUAGCAUGGAAUAAUGAAAUAGGACGUUUGACCCUAUUUUGUUGGUUUUUAGGAUCGACGUAAUGAUUAAUAGGGAUAGUUGGGGGCAUUAGUAUUCAAUUGUCAGAGGUGAAAUUCUUGGAUUUAUUGAAGACUAACUACUGCGAAAGCAUUUGCCAAGGAUGUUUUCAUUAAUCAAGAACGAAAGUUAGGGGAUCGAAGACGAUCAGAUACCGUCGUAGUCUAAACCAUAAACUAUGCCGACUAGGGAUCGGAUGAUGUUAAUUUUAUAAUGACUCAUUCGGCGCCUUACGGGAAAC
rnacentral:rRNA from 1 species